rnacentral:rRNA from 1 species
AACGGCUAUACCAUGCUGAAUAUACCGGUUCUCGUUAGAUCACCGAAGUCAAGCAUCAUUGGGCGCGGUCAGUACUUGGGUGGGUGACCACAUGGGAACACCGCGUGCCGUU